GGAGUAUAGCUCAGUGGCUGAGCAUGUGCUUAGUAUGCACAAGGCCUAGGGUUCCAUCCCCAGCAGCACCC
rnacentral:tRNA from 1 species